rnacentral:rRNA from 1 species
GAUGAACGCUAGCGGCAGGCUUAAUACAUGCAAGUCGAGGGGCAGCAUGGCUGUAGCAAUACAGCUGAUGGCGACCGGCAAACGGGUGCGGAACACGUACGCAACUUACCCAUAACUGAUGAAUAGCCCUCCGAAAGGAGGAUUAAUACAUCGUAAUCCUUAUUGGUGGCAUCACCGAAAAGCUAUAGCUCCGGCGGUUAUGGAUGGGCGUGCGGCUGAUUAGGUAGUUGGUUGAGGUAACGGCUCACCAAGCCUGCGAUCAGUAACUGGUGUGAGAGCACGACCAGUCACACGGGCACUGAGACACGGGCCCGACUCCUACGGGAGGCAGCAGUAAGGAAUAUUGGUCAAUGGACGCAAGUCUGAACCAGCCAUGCCGCGUGAAGGAUGAAGGUCCUCUGGAUUGUAAACUUCUUUUACAGGGGAAGAAACCCGGAAAUUCUUUUUCGGUUGACGGUACCCUGGGAAUAAGCACCGGCUAACUCCGUGCCAGCCGCCGCAGUAAUAC